GAUGAAGAACGGAGCGAAAUGCGAUACGUAAUGUGAAUUGCAGAAUUCAGUGAAUCAUCGAGUCUUUGAACGCACAUUGCGCCCCCUGGUAUUCCGGGGGGCAUGCCUGUCCGAGCGUCAUUGCUGCCCUCAAGCACGGCUUGUGUGUUGGGCCUCCGUCCUCCUCCCGGGGGACGGGCCCGAAAGGCAGCGGCGGCACCGCGUCCGGUCCUCGAGCGUAUGGGGCUUCGUCACCCGCUCUUGUAGGCCCGGCCGGCGCUUGCCGACACAUCAAUCUUUUUUCCAGGUUGACCUCGGAUCAGGGAGGGAUACCCGCUGAACUUAAGCAUAUCAAUAAGCGGAGGA
rnacentral:misc_RNA from 1 species